GGAAUAAAAGUCGUAACAAGGUCUCCGUUGGUGAACCAGCGGAGGGAUCAUUAUCGAGUUUAUAACUCCCAAACCCUAUGUGAACUUACCACUUGUUGCUUCGGCGCGCGCCUCGGUGCCGCCGAGGACACUUAAACUCUUUGUUUUUAUAAGCAUUUCUGAGUGGCCGAAAGGCAAAAUACAAAUGAAUCAAAACUUUCAACAACGGAUCUCCUGGUUCUG
rnacentral:misc_RNA from 1 species